rnacentral:rRNA from 1 species
UAUUAUAAUGGUUUGUAAAUUAGUUGGGCUUGAGUAGUAAUAGAUAUAGUCUUGAAACUCAAAGAAUUUGGCGGUAUUUUAGUCUCUUCAGAGGAAUCUGUCCUGUAAUUGAUAAUACACGAGUUUUUUUACUUUCUUUAUUAGGGUUUGUAUAUCGCCGUCGUAGGAUUAUCUUUUUUGAGGGAUUGGUAAAUAUCUUUAUAUGAAAUUAUAUAUUAUGUCAGGUCAAGGUGCAGCUUAUGGGGAAGAAGUGAUGGGUUACAAUAAUAUUAAUUAAAAACGGAUGAUUUUAGUAGUAAGAAUUUGAAGGUGGAUUUGAUUGUAAUUUAUUUUUGGUUUUUUUUGUGAUUUGAGCUCUGGAAUGUGCACACAUCGCCCGUCGCUCUCGUUAUAGUAAUAUGAG